rnacentral:rRNA from 1 species
CCUACGGGUGGCAGCAGUGAGGAAUAUUGGUCAAUGGGAGGAAUCCUGAACCAGCCAUGCCGCGUGCAGGACGACGGCUCUACGAGUUGUAAACUGCUUUUGUACCGGGGUAAAAUGCCGUACGUGGAGGGUUUUGAAAGUACGGUACGAAUAAGGAUCGGCUAACUCCGGGCCAGCAGCCGCGGUAAUACGGAGGAUCCGAGCGUUAUCCGGAUUCAUUGGGUUUAAAGGGUGCGUAGGUGGUUUUAUAAGUUAGCGGUGAAAUCCCGAUGCUCAACAUCGGGGCUGCCGCUCAUACUGUCGGCCUCGAGCUCGGAUGCAGCAGGCGGAAUGUGUAGUGUAGCGGU